rnacentral:rRNA from 1 species
UUAGAGUUUGAUCAUGGCUCAGGAUGAACGCUGGCGGCGUGCCUAAUACAUGCAAGUCGAGCGAACAGACGAGGAGCUUGCUCCUCUGACGUUAGCGGCGGACGGGUGAGUAACACGUGGAUAACCUACCUAUAAGACUGGGAUAACUUCGGGAAACCGGAGCUAAUAGCGGAUAAUAUAUUGAACCGCGUGGUUCAAUAGUGAAAGACGGUUUUGCUGUCACUUAUAGAUGGAUCCGCGCCGCAUUAGCUAGUUGGUAAGGUAACAGCUUACCAAGGCANCGAUGCGUAGCCGACCUGAGAGGGUGAUCGGCCACACUGGAACUGANACACGGNCCAGACUCCUACGGGAGGCANCAGUAGGGAAUCUUCCGCAAUGGGCGAAAGCCUGACGGAGCAACGCCGCGNGAGUGAUGAAGGUCUUCGGAUCGUAAAACUCUGUUAUUAGGGAAGAACAAAUGUGUAAGUAACUAUGCNCGUCUUGACGGUACCUAA